rnacentral:lncRNA from 1 species
CUCAAACUCACACACACAGCCGCACUCUUUCUCUCCCUACAAAUUUCGGCGACCGGACUCCGGCCGGCGGAGCCGGCGACGAUGACGGCGGCGGUACGGCGGACGACGGAGGUGGCGAAGUUCCGGCGAGGAUUUUCACGGCGGACUUGGGUGUAACCCCCCUAAAUCGACCCUCCUGAGUUCGAUUCCGGUGUCGGUUCCGUCAUCGGAGCACCGGAAGUGACGAUUUCACCUUUGGCAGCCGCGAGUUUGAGUCUCCUUCUCUGGUGACGUCUGAAAUCAACCAUCUUCUUCAUCUACUUUUCUGUUAGUUCUUUCUGGAAUCCACCAUUUUUGGCUCGUUGCGUGAUUUUCAAGUACGACUGAUAGUGGUGGUUAGUGGAGACGAAGAUGGGGCUGUGGUGGUGUUCCGACAGCGGAAGCGUCGCUCGCGGCGGCGGCGGUUCAGUCCUGAUUCAGGUUCGGGUUCCGGCCGACGUGAAUGAACUCCGGUGGACAUCAGUCCGGUUUGUUUCCAUUCAGAUAUAAUCUCGGUUCGUUGUUCGGUUCUGGUCUCACAACAUAGACGGUUCGGGUCAGAAUCUGUUUCAGGUUUUGUUUGGUUUCGUUCGAUUCCGGUCACUGACGACAGCCGGAGCCGCAUCUUCGGGAAUGGUGUUGGCGGGGAUGGUGUCGGCAGUGGUGUCGUUUCAGUCUCAACUCGGGUUAACUCAGUUCAGUUUUGAGGAGUGAUUUAGCGUUCAGGUCAAAACAGGUCAAACAGUCAACGUGGGUUUCGGGAUCUGUCCCGUUUCUGUUUCGGGUCAAACUUGGUCAACCUUCGGUCAAGCAGGGUCAACUAGUCAAACACGAGGUUGGGGUGGCUUCGGUGUUCCAUCCUCCUAAUCUCCGACAUUCGUCAACACUUGGAUAAUCGGAAGACUUAGCAAUAUAGUUGAUGAUUGAUGAUGCUAAGAAACGGAUUAGCAAAGAUGCCUAGAUACUCACUUAGACGUUUAGGUUUAAAGUAUUGUAUCAAUUUUGUUAUGUUAUGUUGAACAAUGUUGUUAUUCGAAUAUCUUGUAAUUGUUAUGAAGUCUCUUACAAUCUUGAACAAGUCCCACUCCGAUGA